rnacentral:rRNA from 1 species
AGUGAACGCUGGCGGUAGGCCUAACACAUGCAAGUCGAACGGCAGCACAGUAAGAGCUUGCUCUUACGGGUGGUGAGUGGCGGACGGGUGAGGAAUACAUCGGAAUCUACUUUUUCGUGGGGGAUAACGUAGGGAAACUUACGCUAAUACCGCAUACGACCUACGGGUGAACGCAGGGGAUCUUCGGACCUUGCGCGAUUGAAUGAGCCGAUGUCGGAUUAGCUAGUUGGCGGGGUAAAGGCCCACCAAGGCGACGAUCCGUAGCUGGUCUGAGAGGAUGAUCAGCCACACUGGAACUGAGACACGGUCCAGACUCCUACGGGAGGCAGCAGUGGGGAAUAUUGGACAAUGGGCGCAAGCCUGAUCCAGCCAUACCGCGUGGGUGAAGAAGGCCUUCGGGUUGUAAAGCCCUUUUGUUGGGAAAGAAAAGCAGCAGGUUAAUACCCCGCUGUUCUGACGGUACCCAAAGAAUAAGCACCGGCUAACUUCGUG